rnacentral:rRNA from 1 species
GCCCAGACUCCUACGGGAGGCAGCAGUGGGGGAUAUUGCACAAUGGGGGAAACCCUGAUGCAGCGACGCCGCGUGAGUGAAGAAGUAAUUCGUUACGUAAAGCUCUAUCAGCAGGGAAGAAAAUGACGGUACCUGACUAAGAAGCCCCGGCUAACUACGUGCCAGCAGCCGCGGUAAUACGUAGGGGGCAAGCGUUAUCCGGAUUUACUGGGUGUAAAGGGAGCGUAGGUGGCAGGGCAAGUCAGAUGUGAAAACCCGGGGCUCAACCCCGGGAGUGCAUUUGAAACUGUCCAGCUGGAGUGCAGGAGAGGUAAGCGGAAUUCCUAGUGUAGCGGUGAAAUGCGUAGAUAUCAGGAGGAACACCGGCGGCGAAGGCGGCCUGCUGGACCGCGACUGACGUUGAGGCUCGAAAGCGUGGGGAGCGAACAGGAUUAGAUACCCGCGUA